rnacentral:rRNA from 1 species
AUUGAAAGCUGGCGGCAGGCCUAACACCUGCCAGUCGAGCGGCGCUUCGGACGGGUGAGUAAUACCUAGGACUCCGCCUGGUAGUGGGGGCUACCGUUCGGAAACGGACGCUAAUACCGCAUACUAUCAGCUGAGCCUCGGUCGGAUUAGCUAGGUGUUGAGGUAAUUGCUCACAAAGGCUACGCUGCGUAACUGGUCUGAGAGGAUGCUCAGUCACCCUGGAACUGAGACAAGGUCCAGACUCUUACGGUAGGCAGCAGUGGGGAAUAUUCGACAAUGGGCGAAAGCCUGAGCCAGCCAUGCCGCGUGAGUGAAGAAGGUCUUCGGAUUGUAAAGCACUUUAAGUUGGGAGGCGUUACCGACAGAAUAAGCACCGGCUAACUCUGUGCCAGCAGCCGCGGUAAUAC